UGGGGAAUAUUGGACAAUGGGCGCAAGCCUGAUCCAGCCAUGCCGCGUGAGUGAUGAAGGCCUUAGGGUUGUAAAGCUCUUUCGCCGGUGAAGAUAAUGACGGUAACCGGAGAAGAAGCCCCGGCUAACUUCGUGCCAGCAGCCGCGGUAAUACGAAGGGGGCUAGCGUUGCUCGGAAUCACUGGGCGUAAAGCGCACGUAGGCGGAUCGUUAAGUCAGGGGUGAAAUCCUGGAGCUCAACUCCAGAACUGCCCUUGAUACUGGCGAUCUCGAGUUCGAGAGAGGUUGGUGGAACUCCGAGUGUAGAGGUGAAAUUCGUAGAUAUUCGGAAGAACACCAGUGGCGAAGGCGGCCAACUGGCUCGAUACUGACGCUGAGGUGCGAAAGCGUGGGGAGCAAAACAGGAUUAGAUACCCUGGUAGUCCACGCCCGUAAAACGAUGGAUGCUAGCCGUUGGGGGGUUUACCUCUCAGUGGCGCAGCUAACGCCUUAAGCAUCCCGCCUGGGGAGUACGGUCGCAAGAUUAAAACUCAAAGGAAUUGACGGGGUCAUAGCUGUUUCCU
rnacentral:rRNA from 1 species